rnacentral:tRNA from 1 species
GCGUGUGUAGUUUAAUGGUAGAUCGGCGGUUUCCAAAACCGUAGGUGGCGGUUCGAUCCCGUCCUCGCGCG